rnacentral:rRNA from 1 species
CCUACGGGCGGCAGCAGUGGGGAAUAUUGGGCAAUGGGCGCAAGCCUGACCCAGCAACGCCGCGUGAAGGAAGAAGGCUUUCGGGUUGUAAACUUCUUUUGUCAGGGAAGAGUAGAAGACGGUACCUGACGAAUAAGCCACGGCUAACUACGUGCCAGCAGCCGCGGUAAUACGUAGGUGGCAAGCGUUGUCCGGCUUUACUGGGUGGAAAGGGCGUGUAGCCGGGUUGAUAAGUCAGAUGUGAAAGCCUGCGGCUUAACCGAAGAACUGCAUUUGAAACUGUUGAUCUUGAGUACUGGAGAGGCAGACGGAAUUCCUGGUGUAGCGGUGAAAUGCGUAGAUAUUAGGAGGAACACCAGUGGCGAAGGCAGUCUGCUGGACAGCAACUGACGGUGAGGCGCGAAAGCGUGGGGAGCAAACAGGAUUAGAUACCCGGGUAGUC